GACGAACCGUACGAACGUUAUUCGGAAUCACUGGGCUUAAAGGGUGCGUAGGCGGCCCGGGAAGUUGGGUGUGAAAGCCCUCGGCUCAACCGAGGAAUUGCGCCCAAAACUGCCGGGCUCGAGGGAGACAGAGGUGAGCGGAACUAAGGGUGGAGCGGUGAAAUGCGUUGAUAUCCUUAGGAACACCAGGAGCGAAAGCGGCUCACUGGGUCUCUUCUGACGCUGAGGCACGAAAGCUAGGGGAGCGAACGGG
rnacentral:rRNA from 1 species